rnacentral:rRNA from 1 species
UAGGGAAUCUUCCACAAUGGGCGAAAGCCUGAUGGAGCAACGCCGCGUGUGUGAUGAAGGCUUUCGGGUCGUAAAGCACUGUUGUAUGGGAAGAACAGCUAGAAUAGGAAAUGAUUUUAGUUUGACGGUACCAUACCAGAAAGGGACGGCUAAAUAUGUGUCAG